UGGGGAAUAUUGCACAAUGGGCGCAAGCCUGAUGCAGCCAUGCCGCGUGUAUGAAGAAGGCCUUCGGGUUGUAAAGUACUUUCAGCGGGGAGGAAGGGAGUAAAGUUAAUACCUUUGCUCAUUGACGUUACCCGCAGAAGAAGCACCGGCUAACUCCGUGCCAGCAGCCGCGGUAAUACGGAGGGUGCAAGCGUUAAUCGGAAUUACUGGGCGUAAAGCGCACGCAGGCGGUUUGUUAAGUCAGAUGUGAAAUCCCCGGGCUCAACCUGGGAACUGCAUCUGAUACUGGCAAGCUUGAGUCUCGUAGAGGGGGGUAGAAUUCCAGGUGUAGCGGUGAAAUGCGUAGAGAUCUGGAUGAAUACCGGUGGCGAGGGCGGCCCCCUGGACGAAGACUGACGCUCAGGUGCGAAAGCGUGGGGAGCAAACAGG
rnacentral:rRNA from 1 species